GCCUUGCAAGGGGGCGCAUCCAGCCUUGCAGCCUCCCAGGGCCCAACCCACAGCCAGCGAGCUCCGAUGCUCAGAGAGGCAGGAAACGGGGCCAGGCAGGGGGACUCGAGAGCGGCUGCUCUUUCCUGUCCCCCCGCCGAGGAGAGCGGAGGAGCAGCGGGCAGUGGCCUGGCGAGUUUCCCCGGAGAGGAGCCGGAUUCCGGUGCAGGGACGGAGCGAGGAGUCAGAGCAGGGUAGUGUAAAAAUGGAAGAGCAGGGACCGAGGAGACCCAUUUGAAGGGAGAGCCUGGAAUCCAAAG